rnacentral:lncRNA from 1 species
CAGCUCUGCGACCACUGGCCACUUUCGCUAGGGAAGAGCGCAGCGAACCGUCGGGCGCUGGUGCUCCUGGGCUGGGCCUGAAAGAAAAGAUCCUUAUUUUCUCGGGCUUCCAGGGCAGCCGGCCUAAAAGUGGUGUUGGUCUACAGGGGUGUGAUCUUUCUUCUUGCUCAUAUCAGAAUAAAAAAAUACAAGC